AGCUCCUCAUCUUCAGUUUUUUUUCUCAAAUGCUCUUCUCUUAAAAAUGAAUUUAAUUUUGAAUUAUUUUAAAUCUAAAAAGGAGAGAAAUACUUUGGCACCCCUUAGAAAUUGAAUUUAUUACCAACCCAACCAACCAAAACGGGUAAAAAAAUAUCCGAAUUCUAUGUAAUCGGGUCAAACCUUUAAAUAAUUAAAUUGACAGAUUUUUUUCUUCUUCUUUCAUCGUUGUCUUCCUCCUCUUCUUAGUCUUUUUUUUCUCCUUAUUGUUGAACUUGGGAUAACUACAUACAACUUCUUUAUUUGCAUAAGUUGGUAAAAUUCGUGUCGAUCUAUUUCUCCAAUUUGAGUUUAUGCAAAGGAGUAAUGGCUCGAACAAAUAACCCAACUGUAUCGAAUCCUACAGAACCAGAUAAAAUCCUUGAAGCAUCAGAGAGGCACCACCCAAGUGUAUUUUGAUUCAACAAAUUCAAUCUCUCGCGGAGAUUCAACGGUCAAAUUCAGAUGUUCAAGGAAGCGGAGAAGAACAACAUGAAGAGAGGAUGUACAAUAGGUGGAGAACCCGAAAUGGGAGAAAAUAAAAAGAACGAGAAGGAGAAAAAAUUCCAGUAAAGACUUGUGACGAUGUAGAAAAACCAAGUGAAGGAGACAGUAAAAGGGUGAAGCGUACAAGCAAAAAUGCAAAGAAGGGGUCUAUUGUUGUGUUUAUGAGUCCUAUUGGAACAAAGCAUAAGAAGAUUUAAGUACUUUAUGAGUCAGUUUAUGAGAACUCCAUGUGUUGUUUUUGUUUUUGUCAACAUGAUUUGGUUGUUUUUUAAUUUUUGGUAUAACUGCGCAGUUUGUUAAACU